CUAUACAAUUGAAUUGAAUUUUAUUUAAUACUGCUCUUUGGCAUUAAAAAAAAAUAAGGCUUUUCAUUAUCCAUGAUAAGACUUUUGUGAUAUGGUUGGUAUCAGUAUAAGUUUCAAAUUAAUAUUUAUUGUCUUGUUUUGUUUUAAUAUAGUUGAAAUGUUUUUUCCUAGUCUUUUUCCCAUGUUUCAUGAAAUCAUUUUACCGGGGUUUCUAAUGUCACAGAAAUGGUUCACAAGAUACAGUUAUUGGUGGAGAAAAUAGUAAAAGUGUUUUAAUUGCUCUCACAAUUUUGAAUUUAAAACUUGAUUGGACUUUUUUU
rnacentral:lncRNA from 1 species